rnacentral:tRNA from 1 species
GGGGAGAUGGCUCAGUGGUUGAGAGCACUGGCCACUCUUCCAGAUGUCCUGGGUUCAGUUCCCAGCCCCU